rnacentral:lncRNA from 1 species
GGGAGCAAGGACUUAUUUUUAAAAAUAAAACUAAAAAGACUCUGCUACCUACCUCCAAAGCCUUAGCAAAAAGUCUUUUUUCUAGCUCCUUCAGGAGAGAACUUACACCAACUCUCCAUUUAGAGGAAAACACCCAGAAAUGCUGGCUUUGCCAAACUGGUUGGAGACGACUGUAAAUGACUAGAAAAUAGAAUCCAGGAAAGAGCCCAGGAAAUUCUGGAAGAGGAGCCAAAGGAGAAGACAUCAUCAGAGAGAUAAGGAGAAGCUUGGAGGAAAGCAUGUAACCAAUGUCAGGGAGGAAGCCCUGGUGUGUCAAAGGCAGCAAGAAGCACAGCAAGAUAGCAGAGGAAGGUCUGUUGGAUUUAAUCACAUGAACGCAGCUUCCUGGCUGCACCCCUCAUGAGUGGGAUGACAGCUCCAUCCACCGGCAUCCUCUCCUUCAUUCCCUUCAUUCAAUCCAUCUCCAGAAACGGCUGCUUUUCUGUUCUCCCAGCACCCUGCCCUACCUUCUCCAAGAGUUCCCAAAGCAUGAUUCCAGACAAGCAGCAUCCACAUCAUGUGUGUAUUUGCUGCAAAUGCGGGUACACAGCCUGAAUUAGAAUCUCAGGAGAUGGGGCCCAGAAAACUAUUUCAAUAAGCCCUGGAUCGCUUGAUGAAGUUUGAGACCCUCUGCCUUCUCCAUCAUUCCCAGUGAUCCUCUUCCACAAUCCCAGUGCUACUUAUGAAUCACAGAUAAAAUAAUGCCCGUCUCUGCUUAAAACCAUCCAGAGGGGUCCUGCUAUCUUCAGAAUUAAGUUCAAAGCCAUUCUUCCCAGUGGUCCAUGUUCUGUGAGCUUUUUCAGAUGCCUUGUCCCCUCUGUUCAAAGCACUGUUCACCCACCACCUACCCAUCCACUGACACUGCUACCCACCAGCCUGCCAUGCUCUUCUUCAUCCUUUGUGACUCACCUUCCAGUAUCCUCUGACCUCCAGACAAGUUUCCACAGGGGAAUGGGAGUGCCUGAGAUAAUACUGCUCACUUCUGUGAAAAUCGCUCUUCCUGCCUCUUAAAUCAACUCCUUGAGGAAUGGACCCACUAUCAGUCUUGUUUAACAAUGAAUCUUCAGUGGCAACGUAAGUGCCCAGCAUCUAAUAGCAACUCAAUAAUCCUUUGAUGGGGCUUGGCACAGUGGCUCACUCCUGUAAUUCCAGUACUUUGAGAGGCCGAUGGGGGUGGAUCACAAGGUCAGGAAUCAAGACCAGCCUGGUCAAAAUGGUGAAACCCCGUCUCUACUAAAAAUACAAAAAUUAGCAGGAUGCUGUGGCAGGCACCUGUAAUCCCAGCUACUUUGGAGGCUAAGGCAGGAAAAUCAUGUGAACCCAGGAGGCAGAGUUUGCAGUGAGCCGAGGUUGUGCCCCUGCACUCCAGACUGGGUGACAGAGCAAGACUCUGUCUCAAAUAAUAAUAAUAAUAAUAAUAAUAAUAAUAAUAGUCCUUUGAUGAAUGGCUGAAUAAAGACCCAUUUUGAUGGAGUGAAGGAUGUUGGAGCAUGAGUAGCCGAGGAAGCAGGAGCAAAGUUCUCAACCACCUUUCAAGACUCAACUGGGAAGAGAAGGAAAGAGAUGAAUACACCAAGUGAAGUCAAACAUUUUUAUUUGGAUUUAUUUGAUUGACUCAAUCUUUCUUUCCUUUUAUAUUUAUUUAUUUAUUUAUUUAUUUAUUUAUUUAUUUUGAGACAGAGUCUUGCUCUGUCUCCCAGGCUGGAGUGCAGUGUCAUGAUCUUGGCUCACUGCAACCUCCGCCUCCCAGGUUCAAGUAAUUCUCUGCCUCAGACUCCCGAGUAGCUGGGAUUACAGGCUCCUGCCACCACACCCAGCUAAUUUUUUGUAUUUUUAGUAGAAACAGGGUUUCACCAUCUUGGCCAGGCUGGUCUUGAACUCCUGACCUCGUGAUCCACCCACCUCGGCCUCCCAAAGUGCUGGGAUUGCAGGCGUGAGCCACAGUGCCCGGCCCAAAUUGUAUUUUAUGUUAUCAAAGAUAGAAGAGAUAAUUAGUUUAGAUGCUGAUGGGACCGAGCUGAGAGAGGGAGAACUGAAGAUACAGGAGCAAAGGGGAUGAUGUAGCCAGAUGUAGGCAUCUCCAGGGCAGUUUCCAUCUUUGUUCAGUGCCUGGAGCUCUCAGCUGUGUGUGGAACUGAGGUGAGGAAGAAUGCAUUCCUGAACACAGCCUCACCUCCAGGUGGUGAUUCUUCCAGGUAGGAACUUCAAAGGCCAGGCCAGGUCUCCUUCUCUGGACUCCCAGAGCCCUCCCCCCUUCCUCUAUCACAGCACAGGUUCAUGUGCUCAUGUGUGUAAAUAACCUGUUUAAUUCUCUUUCUCUAUUGCUAGAUUCCUUGUGGGCAAAGACUAUGUCUUUCUCUUUCAUAACUAUAUCCUGAAGACCAGGCAUGAUGUCCAGUCUCUAAAAUUGUUUUGAAUAAAUGAAUGAGCAUAUAAACAAAUGAAUGAAUGAAUAAAUGGAUGUAUGUGCAUAUAGUUUAAGUUUCUACUUCCUGGGACUGUCAGUCUUUUUCACCCCACUCAGUCCUAUGCUGCCUCCUCAGCUCAUGCCAAAUCUCUUCCCUUUUGUCUACCUACUUCAUUACAGAUAGCAAAAGACUCAGCAAUAGCUUCUCUGAAUCUAUUAGUCAGGAUAUCCUGGUGACAAAUGACAGAAACUCAGCUCAAAUGGGCAAAAGCAAAAAAAAAAAAAAAAAAAAAAAAGUGUAUAUUAGUUUAUGUAACUGAAAAAGCAGGAAUGAUUCAAUCUAGAGGCUUACACAAUAGCCCAUCUCUGUAGUUUCAUCUCAGUCAGGAUCUAUCUCCACCUGGGGCAAAGGUGGCUGGCAGCCUUUGGAGGCUUACACAAGCCUCUCAAAGACAGAACCCCUCUUUCCCUCCAAGGCGAAAGCCUUAGACAGGAUUCCAGUUGUCUCCCGCAGUCAUGUGCCCACUCUGAGGCCAGUGGAUCAACUGGAUCCCAGCCCCCAUCCUGUGGUAGCUUUGGGGCCCUUCGGUUGGUAGCACCAUCAGGAAGGGGAAAGACAAGUUCUAAAAGGAAAGGAUGGGCACGCAAAAAGGAACAGAUGUUCUCUGCAUUGACUCUUUGGGCAAUUGUGUUGCUAAGCUCCUGAGAGCUACAUAGAAUGUAGCGCAGAUGUUUUUAAAAACCUGGUUUUCAGAAUUACCUUUUGUGAAAUAGAGAUUUCGAAAGUCCACCUAAGAACUGCUAAACCAGAAUGUUCAGAGAGUGACGCCUAGGAUUUCAUAUUUUUUUAAAGCUCCAUAAGUAGGCCAGGUGUGGUGGCUAGAUCUUGUAAUCCCAGCACUUUGAGAGGCCAAGGUGGGAGAAUUGCUUGAGCCCAGGAGUUCAAGACCAACUCAGGCAAGAUGGUGAGACCCUGUCUUUAAAAAAAUUAAAAAUUAGCUGGGUGAUGCAUGCCUGAAGUCCCAGCUAUAUGAGAGGACCCCUUGGGUCCAGGAAUUUGAAGAGGCAGAGAGCUAUGAUUGCACCUCUGCACUCCAGCCUGGGUGACAAAGUGAAACGCCAGCUCUAAAAAAAAAAAAAGACAGUUCCACAGGGGAAGGGAGAAACAAAUAAGUUGAGGAAUGAAUGUCAGAGCAGAUGGCAAGUGGCUUCUAAAGUCCCAUAGACUUGUUUCAAUCUGGCUGUGCCCCCAGAUAGCUGCCUGACCUAGAGGAGACCUUGCUGUUCUGAGCCUGACUUUCCUGAUUUGUAGCAGGGAAAGAAAUAAAGGAGUGGCCAGAAGAGUGUGGGAACCAUACCUCUCUGCCAGAGCUUUUGAGAGAAUUAAAUGAGACAAGAUAUGAGAAAUGGUCUAGCACAGGUUUAGUAAAUGAGAAUUUCUUUCCCUCUUUCUCCUCCGUCAUCCUUCCUUUCCUACUUUCCUUCCUUCCUUCUCUCUCUCUUUCUCUUUCUUUCUCUUUCUUUCUUUCUUUAUUCUUUCUUUCUUUAUUCUUUCUUCUUUCUUUCUUCUUUCUUUCUCUCUCUCCCUUCCUUCCUUCCUUCUCUCUCUCUCUCUUUCUCUCUUCCCCUUCCCUUCCCUCCCCUUCCCUUUCCUUCCUCCCUCCCUUCUCCCUCUUUUUCUCUCUUCUCCUUCCCUUCCCUUUCUUUCUUUCUUCCUUCAUUCCUUUUUUC